UAAAAAUUCCCAAAACCAAAACAAAACCAACAAGAAAUUCUACAAAGUCGUAAAGUAAUUCAUUUAUUAUAGCAGCGAUUUGCUAACUAAAUUAGUGCAACUAAUAUUUAGUUUUUAUGUGCGAAACCAACAAAACAAGCGCAUAAUAACAUAAAGAACCAGUUCGGGAACCAGUGCCAGCAGAACGCCAUGGACGAAAUGCCAGAUUUAUCGCAUUUGACGCCGCACGAGCGCAUGCAAAUUGAAAAUGUGCUCAUGCGGCAGAAGCAGGAGGAGGAGAAGCAAAAUGAGAUAAUGCGACGCAAACAGGACGAAGUCGUUACGCUGGAGAUGCAAAUCAGACAGCGAUCCGAGCAGCAAAAGAAGGCCGGCGUCGAGCUGGAUGCCACCUGUCACAUAUGCCUUAAGACCAAGUUUGCCGAUGGCGUUGGCCACAUUUGCCAUUAUUGCAACAUACGCUGCUGCGCCCGCUGCGGCGGCAAAGUAACCCUGCGCAGCAACAAGGUGAUCUGGGUGUGUAUCCUGUGCCGCAAGAAGCAGGAGCUGCUCUCCAAAACGGGCCAGUGGAUAAACAAGACGGCGGUGCAGCAAGAUGGUUUCAUACGGCGCAUCGAACCCGACGGCAGCAGCGACAUCUCGCAGCAGGCCAUUGUCGAUCCACGCGAUUCGGCGGACAAGCGACCGAAGCUGGAGCGCACGCGCAGCGCUGCCGAGAAGGAGAACCUGCCCAUGCAGCGGGCUGGCAGCAUGCUGCGUCGCCAAUAUUCGCAGCAGGAGCAGCCAACGAAUCGUCGCCUGUCCGUCUCCGACAGCGGCAUGGAGCCGCUGAGUCCUGGGCAGCAGCAGAUGCAGCAGCAGCAGCUGCCGCAGCGCCAGCGCAUGCAGCCCAUGAAUCCGCAGCAGGCGCAGCAAUAUCAACUCCAGCAGCAACAACUACAGCAGCAGCAGCAACAACAACUGGGCUACGGACAGCAGCAGCAUCCACAGAGAUCGGGCGCCUAUCCAGAGGAUGAUCCGCGUUACUAUCAGGGCGAGCUGGAUGGUCUGAUGCGACAACAUCCUCACCUGGCACAUCCCAGCCAGGUGCAGCAGCAGCCACAGCAGCAACAGCAACAGCAGCCGCAACAGCAACAACCACAGCAACAUUUAAUACCGCAGCAGCAGCGAUUCAAUGCACGCCAGCAACAUAUGCAACAGCAGCAGCAGCAGCAGCAUCAGCAGCAGCAACAGCAACAGCAGCCACAGCAGCAGCAACAGCAGCGAAUGCUACAACAGCAGCAACCGUAUCAAGGAUCCUCGACACAUGCGCAGAUUCAUUCGCAGCCAGCGCAACUGGGUGGGGGCAGUGGCUACCAGAAGGCGCCACCGCUGACGCGCAACCUGACGAUCAGUGGGGGCCACGCCAUGGAUGCCACCACCUACAAUCAGCAGCAGCAGCAGCAACAGCAGCGGCGCUCCUUGGCUGGCGCACAGUACGCCUCACAGCAGCAGCGAUCCUUCAGUAGCUCCGAGGAGGAGUUCCAGAGCCAUCUAAUGGCCGCGCAGGCGCAGGCGCAAGUGCAAGGACAUACCGUUACAGCUGGCAGCGACUACGAUGCAGGUAAUUUUGGCGUCGUGCAAAGUGUCCAAACAAAUCUCUCGCCCGGCGAUCUACAGAUUCAUGCAAAUAAUCCGGUGAAUUGGCAAACAUCCGCGGAUAAUACUCGCAUGAUUGGUCACAUGAUAUUACGUAAAUACUAUGAUGGGGAAGAUAUAUUAGGCUUAAAGGUGAACGGCGGCCAGCCCGUGGGUCUCGGAGGCCCAUGCAGAGCCAUUGUGGAGAAGGUGAAACGCGGUUCGGUGGCCGACGUCGAAGGCUGUAUACGACCAGGCGACGAGAUCAUCGAGUGGAACGGACGCAGCCUGCACAACAAGAGCGCGGACGAGGUCUACGACAUCAUCGACGAGAGUCGUCUGGAUGCACAGGUGGAAUUGAUUGUGGGUCGAUCGCUGCUGCUGCCAUCCAGUGGCGCCGGCAGCGUCGACAGCGGCAGCAGCAGCAACGUCAGCCCCAGCAGCGCAUGCUCUGGCUCGGGCAGCAGCGUCACCCGGCGCUCCUCGGCCAACUUUCCGCACAGUGGGCUGGCGAGCAGCAUGGCAGCCAGCGCAGUGGUCAGCAGCGGAGGGCGUUACCUGCAGCGUAAAGCACCCGGCGUUGAGGCUCUAGAGCUGCACCGCGAUAAGCCGAGCGUGCUGAUCACCUCGCCCGGCUCUCCGGAUCUCCACACCGGCGGCUCGAACAACGGACUGCGUCAUCGUGGCGCUGGCAUUGGCAGCUGCUCGCAGCAGUCGCAGCGCUUGGAGGCCAGCAGCCAUAACCACAGCCACAGCCAUAGCCAUAGCCACAGCUACAGCAGCCACAGCCACAGCAGCAGCGGCAGCGGCAGUAACAGCGGCAGCAGCAGCAACAGCAGCGCCACCGUCGCCGCCUCGGGCGGCGUGCACAGCGCAACGACGGCGGGCCACCAUCAUCAUUGUCACCCAACAGCGGCAUCACCGCCAUCGCACGCGCACGCGCUUCCGCAUCCGCAUCCCCACCCGCACUCGCACUCGCACUCACACGCCCACGCCCACUCGCACCAUGGGCAUGGCAUGGGCGUGACAACACAGCCGAUUCCCAUCGAGGGCCGGCUGCAGCUGAAGCUCGGCUACGAUCAGACCACUCUGCAGCUGAUCGUGACGCUGGUUUGCGCCACGGGCCUGUCGCUGCGUCAAAGCGGCGCCGGGCGCAAUCCCUAUGCGAAGGUGUUCCUGCUGCCCGAUCGCAGCCAGAAGUCCAAACGACGCACGAAAACCGUUGGCACCACCUGCGAACCGAGGUGGGGUCAAACGUUUUUCUACUCCGGUCUGCGCCGCAGCGAUCUCAAUGGUCGCCAGCUUGAGGUCACGCUGUGGGAUUAUGUGCGCUAUGGGGCCAACGACUUUAUUGGCGAGGUGGUCAUUGACUUGGCUCAUCAUGUACUGGACGACGAAGCCGAGUGGUACCAGCUGCAACCGCAUCAGGAUAGCUCCCAUCUCUUACGUGACGAGGGCAGCGAUGUGGAGUGUCUGAUUCUGACACCGACAGAUCAUUUAUCACCGCCCAGCACGAUGUCGCGUCUAAGCGACUCGGACACGACGUCCGAGUGCGACAUCGAUGGAACGACGCCCGGUGCCAGCAUCUCAUCGAUGGGCAGCUCUGCCAGCCCGCCGCUGUUCGAGCUCGAUCUAAACGAGCGUCGAUCCAGACGUGACAUGUCGCCCCAGGGCCGCAAACGGGUGGCCGGGAUGAUGGCCAGAGAUUAUCGCACAGUAUCUGGCAUUGGACAAAGUUAUCACAAUCAGAGUUCUGCAACUACUGCGGGUUACUACCGACGAGGCGGUGCCAAUGGUGUCGGCUCCGCCAUCGGACCUGGUGGCAUGAGCCUGAGCCAGCGCAGCCACUCGGCAGCUCCCAGCGACAACUAUCACGGCCAUCAAGGACAUCCGGGCACAGGCUACGGCUACAGAAGCAGCAGUCCGCGGCGAGGAUCGCUAUCGCCGCCCGACGAUCGUUACAUUGACUAUCCAGUGCUUCCAAUUCACGGCUCACCCAACGCCGCGGCCUACGGCGGCGGAGGCAGCGGUGCUUCGGCGGCGGCACAGACACCACAGCAGCAGCGUUUCCAGUCUCGUUCUGCCACUGCCACGCCUACGGGAUCGCCCAAGAAGCGACAACUGCCACAGGUGCCACAAACCUCUCGCAGCGCCAUGUUGCGCGAUCGAUUGGGUCAGGACUUUGACGAGCGGCUGGCAUCGGGCAGCCGCUUUGGCCGCCAUCGCACACGGCAGCCGCACCAUCAGGCGACAUAUCGCAGCACCGGCAUGGGUGGCUGGGAGCGCCACUACACAGGACUUUCGGAUAGUGAUCUGCAGUCGAUGGACACGCGGAUGCGGCCAAGGCAUUCGCUGUCGCCGGACAAGGACUUCAUGGGCGAGUUUGGUGACUCGGACAUGGAGUCGGUGGUCAGUGUGACGUCGAGUGCGUUUUCCACUCAGUCGGAGCGUCCGCGCACCUCGCGCGGCCUCAGCUUUCCACGCAACUGGCGCAACCUCUUCGGCGCCCAAAGUAGCAUAUUGGGCGGUGCCGUUGGCGGCCCUGUGACCGGCCUUAAGGUCUAUCCCGUUGAGCACCACCGCGCGAACACCAUCGAGGUGGACGACUGCGACUAUCUCUCCAGUGGUGGCGGGGCUCAUCAGCUCCUGCUGCUGGAGCAGCUCGAGCAACUGCAGCAGCUAGCCGCCUUGGCUGCCGCCGACUCGCCGCCCAACACCGCCGCAUUGGGUGGGUUCAGCGGUGCCGCAUCUGCAGUCCCGCCACCACCCACAACUAUACCACUGCCAAUGACCGCACCACAGCAAGUACUCGUAACGGACACAAACAGCGGCGAACUGAUCGAGCAGUUCUUCGUGGAGCCGGCCCUGAUGGCGGAGGAGACGCCGCUUAACCUCGAGCCACACGAGCCCCAUUUGCUUACGCAUAGCGUUUACUAUUCACCUCAUUUGCCCAACACAUUCAUACAGCCGCCGCUUGACUUGUACCAACGACGCCACAACGGACGCCAGCUCGACCACGCCCCCACCAUCGCCACCGCCACCGCCACCGCCAACGCAACCACUCAUGCGAAUCACACCUAUGCGCUGCCCGGCUUUGAGCAAUUCAAGCGCUAUACCACGCCCGUCAUGAAUCUCUUUCGCAGCUCCACAACAGCACCGCCAGCGUCUGCCCAUGACCACGCCCACACGGUCUCCUCCUCGCCCAGCUCCUACGUGGGCUACGUACGCGAUCACCUGGACAAGAGCUGCAGCCACUGCCAGAACGGUAGCCAGCCGGUAGUGCUAUCCACAAACACAGCCCUGGCGACGCCCGGCCUGGCUAUUGGCGCCUGCACCGAUCCCUGUUGCCUGGCCGAUGCACAUCCCCAUCCGCAGCAUAAGCCCAUUGCAUAUCCCUAUAGCGCGGAGCAGCUGCUGCGUCGCCCCUCCCUCUCCAUGUAUCAGCCGGCAAGCACCUCAGAGCCCUCGCUGCCCACCAUGGACCCGGAUCCCAUGUGCGGCGAGUGCGUUGACCAGCAUUUCCUGGGCGGCCUGAUUGGGCCGCAGCUCAAUCUGGGCGUGGUGCCCACCUACCAUGUGCACACGCCAACAGCGACAGCUCAUCGGCGAGCGAACUCGCAGCUGGCACCGCCUCCACCACUGCCCACGCAAUCCGUGCUGCGACUCUCGCGACAGCUUAGCGAGGAUGCCCUAGUCUCGGCGGUGCCCAUAGCGGAGGCGACGGCACGGGCUCAACCCACAUCGAUUCUGAAGAAGCCCAAGCUGGACCGACGUCGCAUGUUUCACGAGGGCCAGUCGCGCUCCCUGGACUACGAUGAUUUGCAUACGAAGAGCUGGGGCAGGCGGCGCAUACGUUACGAGGACGAGGUGGCACCACAUGAGCUGAUGCCGCACGCCUAUCACCCCAGUGAGGAGCAGUUGCCCAGCAGUCGCCGAUACGGCUCCGAGACGAACAUACGGCAGUCGUAUAUGGGCGCCAAUGUGGAUGCCGCCAAUCCGCUGAGUCACUCGCAUUUCCUGGUCACCGAUGACAAGAUCGUGACCAUCACCUACGACUCGGAUGUGGGCUGGACCCGACGCGGCGUAGCGCCCUCCCUCUUCCGCGGUCCACACCGUCGCGGCGUCGACGCUCGCAAUCACAUGUCCCUCGACCUGCAGCGCACCAGCCAGCAGAAGCUCUACGGACCCGCUGCGCCCUACAUGAAGCGGCGUCGCAAUCUGCCACAUCCGCCUAGUGCGCAAAACGCACACAAUUUCUCGCCCAUGGAGGCGAUCGGUGGUGGUGUUGGUGGGGGCGGUGCACAGAACAGUGGUACAUACAACAGUAACAAUCACAACAGUAGCCACUACACCAAUCACAAUAGCCACGCAGCGAGUAGUGUUAGUAGUGUUAGUCAAUUUCACAACAACCAACAACAACAACAACAACAACCACAAUCAAUUAGGCAAAAAGGGAAAGAAGGCAUCAUCGCCGUAAACGGAUUGUUGGCAUCGGCAUCGGAACAAUUGACGAAAUCUAGUGGUGGGAGCGGUGGUGCAACAUCUGCCGCAGCUACCGCUGCCGCUACUGGUAAUAUCGUCUGCGAUGGUAAUAAUGCUAAUAAUGCUUCUUCUUCCUCUUUUGCAAAUCCCCCACAACAACAACAACAACAACAACAUCAUGGUGUCGCUAAUCAACCAAUAACAACAACAAACGCAUCACCCAAUAAACGUGCCCCAUCAUCAAUACACAAUACCACUACAACAACAACAACAACAACAACAAACGACGCCAACAACUUGACCCAUGACGCAACAUCAACCAAUCUCACACAACAACAACAACAACAACCACCAAAUACAUGCACAAAUCUCAUCACAAAUGCAACAACAAACACAUCGUCGAUUGAUGCGGCAACAACAACAACAACAACGACGACAACGAUAACAACCGCAACGACUGCUACAACAACUGCCACAAAUACAACUACAACAACAACAACAACAAAUACAAAUAACACGAAUGAACCAAACGCAACAACGACAACAACAAACGCCAAUACGAAUGCUAAUACGGAUGCGGAUGCGGACGCGGAUGCACCUAUCGAUGUUAUCGAUUGGGAUGCAAUCGAUGCGAUGCUCGACGACGAUUUCAGUGAGUACGACAAGGAGAAGAACGGUGCCAACGAGCCGAGUGGAGCCAAGUCAGUCGACGGUGGAGGCGGAACUGAGGAGAAAGCCGAUGGCAGCCUGUCAGACACCACAACGGAUCGAAAAAAAUGCGGCAACGUGGAUCAGGAACGAUCACCCAAAGGCGGCAGCGGGAUGGGUAAAAAAUCCAACUCGACGUCGCAACUGUCGGCAACAGGUCGUAAAAGACGUAUGGGCUUUGGAAAGAAGGGUAAGAACUCGUUCACGGUGCAUCGCAGUGAAGAGGUGCUGCCUGGUGAUAUCACGCGGGAGUUGCGCUCCGGCGGAGGUGCCGGCUGUGUCAGCGGUGGUGCUGGCGGUGCCGGUGGCGGUGGCCUAUCCCGUGGUUCGUCCUCGGAGGCGGACCCCAUUGAGCAGUUUUUCGGCGAUGGCGCUGGUGGGGAAAGAUUUUCACCAUCAUUACGCAAUGAUGGAGCCCUGAAUGAGUUCGUGGAUGGCCUCGGCCCGGGUCAAUUGGUUGGUCGUCAGGUGCUGGGCGCCCCCUCACUAGGUGACAUACAGCUGUCGCUGUGCCAUCAGAAGGGCUUUCUCGAGGUUGAGGUGAUACGAGCCAGGGGCUUGCAGCAAAAGCCGUCGUCGAAGAUGUUGCCCGCGCCCUAUGUGAAAGUUUAUCUGGUGUCGGGCAAGCGGUGCAUUGACAAGAUGAAAACCUCAACGGCUCGUCGCACGCUGGAUCCGCUCUAUCAGCAGCAAUUGGUAUUCAAGCAGUCGUACAGCGGUUGCGUAUUGCAGGUGACCGUUUGGGGCGACUACGGCCGGAUUGAAAAGAAAGUGUUUAUGGGUGUGGCGCAGAUAAUGCUCGACGAUCUGAAUCUCUCGAAUAUCGUUAUCGGCUGGUACAAGCUCUUCGGCACCACCUCACUGGGUCGUCCGAUUGUUUGGGCCGGUGAAUCAAUAAUGGAGGAGCAGGGUGAAUAACACUUUCCAGCUACAGUGAAAACACUUUAAAGCACCAAGCACAAACAAAUUUCCAAACUUGCAAACUGAACUGAAUUUAACCCUUGCAAAGAGCUGCCAGCCAGGCAGCCAAAUAGCAAAGGACCAAGGUCAGCCUGCAGGACCUGCUACGCUUUGUUGGGAGAGGAAAAGGAGGCGGAACACCCCGGAUGAGCGUCUGGAGCUGUCGCCCGAUACUCCCAUUCGGCAUGUUGCUGGCCUAAUCUAUGUCCAAUUUGUAUGUAAUUUUUGAUUUGUAUUUUUGAUUUCUUACUCUUAUUAUCGAUCGGAAGAUAUCCUUAGGAGUGUAAGGAUCUAGGUAAUUUUGUAAGUCAUGAAAACAAAUGCAUUUAAACCCAUACCCGAUAACACAAGCAGUGCAGUAAAUGAUUAAACUUAAUAACUAUGAAAUUCGAGAUAUAUAAUAUUUAAAUAUAAUGCGAUCUACACAAGAGAGAGACGAAUAUAAAAUAUUAAUAAAAAUAUGAAAUGAAAGAGAGUUUGUAAAUGAAUGACAGCGUAUUUGAAGACAUUUUUAUUACACACCUAAGAUCGCUAUUAUUUUCGUAAUACGAUUAUUCUGAUUAUUAUUAUGAAUAAUUAUUAUUAAUAAUAAAUAGAUAUACAAAGAACAAAAAGAAAACAUGCAAGAUACACACAACCAAGAAAAAGUGCUAAUGUCGGUAAUACACCUAAAGCUAAGUCAGUGAGAUAGAAAACAAAAAUAAUAAUAAAUUAAAAAUGAUGAGUAAAUAAAUUAAAAAGUAAAAUAAAAAGGAGUAGGAGGCGGAGAUGGAGAUUUAAGUGCAGAUGCAAGUUGUUUAAUAGAUAAAUCUAAAUCAAUAAAUUAAAGUUAUAGAUUUUCAAGAAAAUAUUUACGAGUAUAUACUAUAUACAAUAUAUGUAUACACAAAUAUAUACAUAUAGAUAUAUAUUUAAAGUUUAAGCAAGCAAAGAACCACUAACACUUAAAUAAGCCUAACUUACGAUAAAUUAAACUUAAAGUUAAUCAGAAAGUAACUAAAUGAGAUAUAUGAUAUAUGAGAUAUGUAUUAAUCCAAACCAAAUACUUAUUAAGCGUGACGAUUGAACAAAUUUAAUUUAGAAAAUGAAAACCAAACACACACACACACACCACUUACACGAAUACACAACAAAUGUUAA
rnacentral:misc_RNA from 1 species